rnacentral:rRNA from 1 species
UACGAAGGGGGCUAGCGUUGCCCCGGAAUCACUGGGCGUAAAGCGCACGUAGGCGGAUUGCUAAGUCAGGGGUGAAAUCCUGGAGCUCAACUCCAGAACUGCCUUUGAUACUGGCGAUCUCGAGUUCGGGGAGAGGUGAGUGGGAACUGCGAGUGUAGAGGGUGAAAUUCGUAGAUAUUCGCAAGAACACCAGUGGCGAAGGGCGGCUCACUGGCCCGAUACUGACGCUG